UACGUAGGGUGCGAGCGUUGUCCGGAAUUACUGGGCGUAAAGAGCUCGUAGGUGGUUUGUCGCGUUGUCCGUGAAAACUCACAACUCAAUUGUGGGCGUGCGGGCGAUACGGGCAGACUGGAGUACUGCAGGGGAGACUGGAAUUCCUGGUGUAGCGGUGGAAUGCGCAGAUAUCAGGAGGAACACCGGUGGCGAAGGCGGGUCUCUGGGCCAUUACUGACACUGAGAAGCGAAAGCAUGGGGAGCGAACAGG
rnacentral:rRNA from 1 species